UACGUACUGCGCGAACGUUAUUCGGAAUCACUGGGCUUAAAGGGUGCGUAGGCGGUUUUUCAAGUCAGGUGUGAAAUCUUCCGGCUCAACCGGGAAACUGCGCUUGAAACUGAGAGACUGGAGUAUGCUAGGGGUGUGCGGAACUGCCAGUGGAGCGGUGAAAUGUGUUGAGAUUGGCAGGAACGCCGGUGGCGAAAGCGGCACACUGGGGCAUAACUGACGCUGAGGCACGAAAGCCAGGGUAGCGAACGGG
rnacentral:misc_RNA from 1 species